rnacentral:rRNA from 1 species
GACGAACGCUGGCGGCGUGCUUAACACAUGCAAGUCGAACGAUGAACUUGGAGCUUGCUCUGGGGGAUUAGUGGCGAACGGGUGAGUAACACGUGAGUAACCUGCCCUGGACUCUGGGAUAACUUCGAGAAAUCGGAGCUAAUACCGGAUAGGACCUUGCACCGCAUGGUGUGGGGUGGAAAGUUUUUCGGUUUGGGAUGGACUCGCGGCCUAUCAGCGUGUUGGUGGGGUAAUGGCUAAACAAGGCGUCGACGGGGAGCCGGCCUGAGGGGGUGACCGGCCACACUGGGACUGAGACACGGCCCAGAUUCCUACGGGAGGCAGCAGUGGGGAAUAGUGCAGAAUGGGCGCAAGCCUGAUGCAGCAACGCCGCGUGCGGGAUGCCGGCCUUCGGGUUGUAAACCGCUUUUAGUAGGGAAGAAGCCUUCGGGUGACGGUACCUGCAGAAAAAGGACCGGCUAACUACGUGCCAGCAGCCGCCAGUAAAAC